UACAGAGGGUGCGAGCGUUAAUCGGAAUUACUGGGCGUAAAGCGCGCGUAGGCGGCUUUUCAAGUCGAUUGUGAAAUCCCCGGGCUUAACCUGGGAACUGCAGUCGAGACUGUCUAGCUAGAGUAUGGGAGAGGGAAGUGGAAUUUCAGGUGUAGCGGUGAAAUGCGUAGAUAUCUGAAGGAACAUCAGUGGCGAAAGCGACUUCCUGGACCAAUACUGACGCUCAUGUGCGAAAGCGUGGGGAGCAAACCGG
rnacentral:rRNA from 1 species